rnacentral:rRNA from 1 species
GAUGAACGCUGGCGGCGUGCCUAACACAUGCAAGUCGAACGGAGUCCAGCCUUUAAGACCUUCGGGUCAAAGAGGGGAAGACUGAGUGGCGGACGGGUGAGUAACACGUGGGCAACCUGGCUCAUAGAGGGGGAUAACAGAGAGAAAUUUCUGCUAAUACCGCAUAAGCACACACUGCCGCAUGGCAGAGGGUGAAAAGAGAAUCGCUAUGAGAUGGACCCGCGUCUGAUUAGCCAGUUGGCAGGGUAAGAGCCUACCAAAGCGACGAUCAGUAGCCGAUCUGAGAGGAUGAACGGCCACAUUGGGACUGAGACACGGCCCAAACUCCUACGGGAAGCAGCAGUGGGGGAUAUUGCACAAUGGGGGGAACCCUGAUGCAGCGACGCCGCGUGAGUGAAGAAGUAUUUCGGUAUGUAAAGCUCUAUCAGCAGGGAAGAUAAUGGCAGUACCUGAAUAAGAAGCCCCGGCUAACUACGUG